rnacentral:rRNA from 1 species
CCGUCGGCUACGAGGACGACGCUGGCGGCGUGCUUAACACAUGCAAGUCGAACGGUAAGGCCCUUCGGGGUACACGAGUGGCGAACGGGUGAGUAACACGUGGGUGAUCUGCCCUGCACUUCGGGAUAAGCCUGGGAAACUGGGUCUAAUACCGGAUAGGACCAUGGACUUCACGGUUUGUGGUGGAAAGCUUUUGCGGUGUGGGAUGGGCCCGCGGCCUAUCAGCUUGUUGGUGGGGUAAUGGCCUACCAAGGCGACGACGGGUAGCCGGCCUGAGAGGGUGUCCGGCCACACUGGGACUGAGAUACGGCCCAGACUCCUACGGGAGGCAGCAGUGGGGAAUAUUGCACAAUGGGCGCAAGCCUGAUGCAGCGACGCCGCGUGAGGGAUGACGGCCUUCGGGUUGUAAACCUCUUUCAAUAGGGACGAAGCGCAAGUGACGGUACCUAUAGAAGAAGCACCGGCCAACUACGUG